AAUGAACGCUGGCGGCAUGCCUAACACAUGCAAGUCGAACGAAGGCUUCUGCCUUAGUUGCGCACGGGUGCGUAACGCGAGGGAAACUGCACUUGGGUUCCGAAUAACAGAUAGAAUUGACUGCUCAUACCGGAUGAUGUCGUAACACUAAAGAUUUAACGCCCAAGGGUGAGCCCGCGUAGGAUUAGCUAGUUGGUGGAGUAAAGGCCUACCAAGGCUACGAUCCUUAGCUGGUCUGAGAGGAUGAUCAGCCACACUGGGACUGAGACACGGCCCAGACUCCUACGGGCGGCAGCAGUGUGGAAUAUUGGACACUGGCCGAAAGCCUGAUCCCGCAAUGACGCGUGAGUGAUGAAGGGCUUAGUGUUGUAAAGCUCUUUUAUCCGGGAGGAUAAUGACAGUACCGGGAGAAUAAGCCCCGGCUAACUUCGUG
rnacentral:rRNA from 1 species